CGCAUCUGUGCAUGCAGCAUAUCAAUAAGCGGAGGAAAAGAAACUAACAAGGAUUCCCCUAGUAACGGCGAGUGAAGCGGGAAGAGCUCAAAUUUGAAAUCUUAAAGGGUUUCCCUUUACGAAUUGUAGUUUAAAGAAGUGUUUUCUGUUGAGGUUUUGGUAAAAGUUCUUUGGAAUAGGACAUCAUAGAGGGUGAGAAUCCCGUAUUUGACCUUUACUUUCAACUUUGUGAUACACUUUCAAAGAGUCGGAUUGUUUGGGUAUGCAGUCCAAAAUGGGUGGUAAAUUUCAUCUAAAGCUAAAUAUUGGCGAGAGACCGAUAGCGAACAAGUACCGUGAGGGAAAGAUGAAAAGAACUUUGAAAAGAGAGUUAAACAGUACGUGAAAUUGUCAAAAGGGAAGCGUUUGACACCAGUGUUGUUUUUCUGAAAAUCAAUUAAAGAACUGUUUAUGCUAAGUUGUUUAGACUUUAUCAGCUAUCUGCUUAGUUUUGAGCUUUUCUUUAAUGCACUUUUCAGUUAACAAGUCAACAUCAAUUUCUUUUGCUGUAAAAAAGCUUGAGGAAGGUGGCUUGAGAUUCGUCUUAAGUGUUUAUAGCCUCUUGCCUAUGCAGUCGGAGAGAUUGAGGUCUGCAGCGUAGAUCCUUCGGGGCUAAAUGCAUUUGUGCUAAGUUAUAGCAUUUUAUAGACAACUUGUUGACUAUGAUUUGUCUUGUAGCUUACUCGCUUAUGUUAUUUUACCUACGCUUAGGAUGUUGAAUCUGUGCGAGACUAC
rnacentral:rRNA from 1 species